rnacentral:rRNA from 1 species
UUUGGCGGUAUUUUAGUCUAUUCAGAGGAACCUGUUCUGUAAUCGAUAAUCCACGAUGGACCUUACUUAAGUUUGUAAUCAGUUUAUAUACCGUCGUUAUUAGAAUAUUUUAUAAGAAUGUUAAUUUUCAGAAUUUUUAAAAAGAAAAUAUAUCAGAUCAAGGUGUAGCUUAUAUUUAAGUAGAAAUGGGUUACAAUAAAAUUAUUUAUACGAAUUUAAAUAUGAAAUAUUUAUUGAAGGUGGAUUUGAUAGUAAAAUUAUAAAGAUUAAUAAUUUGAUUUUAGCUCUAAAAUAUGCACACAUCGCCCGUCACUCUUAUUAUUAAGGUAAGAUAAGUCGUAACAUAGUAGAUGUACUGGAAAGUGUACCUAGAAUGCAAUUUAAAGCUUAUUUAGUAAAGCAUUUCAUUUACAUUGAAAAGAUUUUUGUGCAAAUCAAUAUAAAUUGAUUAAAUUAUAUUUAUUUAUCAUUUUUUUUUUAUAUUUUAAAUUAUUAAAAAUAAUUAUAUAAGGAUUUGUUUUAGUAUUUAAUAAAGAAAAAAUAAUUUUAAUUAUAGUUUAUUAGUAUUGUAAAAGAAAAUUGAAAUAA